UGACAACUCACUUGAUUGGUUUGUUUUACCCAACACAAAUACACAUGAACGUUUUUCUAUCCCCAAUGAGAGUAUUUUGGAUAGCUGCUACUCUUCAAAUUCCUAUUCCUCUGAUCGAUUUGCAGGUGAUGUUGCGGCGCUUGGUAUCAUCAGAGCUGGGAUAUUAAUGAAAGCUAAAACUGUUUUAAAUCCACGAGUUCAUUUGCUAUGUUCCCUAUCAUAUUGAAGGUCAGCCUUCCUACCUAAUUAUUGCCGAUUUAGUGUUCACAUCCCUCUCAGAGCCAUUGAUUGAGGAGGAAAGUGAAGACCAUAUGCGGGUAA